rnacentral:tRNA from 1 species
AGUUUUAUAGUCAAAAAUGACACUAAAUUGCAAGUUUAGAGGUAGUGAAAACUUAAGGCUU